ACACAUCAUCAUUGUGAAGUGUUGAGUUGAUUAUUGUCUUCUCAGCAGGCUACAGUAAUGGAUACGGCAGUGAGGUUUAUGGCACAGCAGAUGGUUAUGGGGCAGGUGAGUCUGGACUGGAUAGGUACGAUUGAGCGAUAUCACACUAACAUAUAAGCAUAAUUAUAAUUGAGUGACAAUUAUAAUUAUGUUACAGGACCUGCCUACCCAUCAGUGUUAGCUGAUAAUGUUGGCCUGAACGGUAUAGCUGGUCUUGGAGCUGGAGGCCUUGGAGGUCCAGGGCUGGUAGUGAACCCUGGCCUGGGUAUUCAUGCCAAGUCUAGAAAGUAUGGGGCAGGUGGAGUUCUUGGAGCUGCCGGAUCCUUGCCUUACGGUGGCCAGCCUGUGGUCUCAGCUGGACUUGGUCCUCACGGCAAGACUGGUAGUUAUGGUGGAGCUACAUAUGGAGG
rnacentral:lncRNA from 1 species